GUAAGUAUAUAAAGAAAAAAAUGAAUAUUGGGGAGUCAUUUUUUUCUUGGGGCUGCGAAAAUACAGAGAGGAAAAGAAGAGAAGUAGAGGAAGGAAGAAAGAGGAAGAAGAUCUAAGGUGGUUGAACACAUUCAAAGGAAGGGUUCUUAUUCCAUAGGUGCUUUAAUUGGUUAACUAUAUUAGGAGGUAGGCGAUAUGUUUUCUGAUUGGCAUGCAUGGUGAUGUGGGACGUUCCUUGGUCUAAGUUAGGGGUGCACAUGAGUCGGGUUUUCGGGUUUCGGGUGCAUCGGGUUCGGGUUUCGAUUUGGGAAAUGGGGUACCGAAACCGCUCCGAAUUUCAAUUUUUUGGGUAAUUUCGGGUUUCUGGUUUUGUCGGAUCGGGUGGGGUCGG